rnacentral:rRNA from 1 species
UACGGAGGGUGCAAGCGUUGUUCGGAAUUAUUGGGCGUAAAGGGGAGGUAGGUUGUCUUAUUUGUCUAAGGUGAAAUCCCUGGGCUUAACCCAGGACGUGCCUUAGAAACGGUAAGACUAGAGUCCCAGAGAGGGUUGCGGAAUUCCCGGUGUAGCGGUGAAAUGCGUAGAGAUCGGGAGGAACACCAGAAGCGAAGGCGGCGACCUGGACGGGUACUGACACUAAACUCCGAAAGCGUGGGGAGCAAACAGG